GUAGGGAAUAUUGCGCAAUGGACGAAAGUCUGACGCAGCGACGCCGCGUGAGUGAUGAAGGCCUUAGGGUCGUAAAGCUCUGUUGAAUGGGAAGAAAAAAAUGACGGUACCAUUCGAGGAAGGACCGGCUAACUUCGUGCCAGCAGCCGCGGUAAUACGAGGGGUCCUAGCGUUGUUCGGAAUCAUUGGGCGUAAAGGGUGUGUAGGUGGCCCUGUAAGUCAGGUGUGAACGCCCCGGGCUCAACCCGGGAAGUGCACUUGAUACUGCGUGGCUAGAGUACCGAAGAGGGUAGUGGAAUUCCAGGUGUAGUGGUGAAAUACGUAGAUAUCUGGAGGAACACCGGUGGCGAAGGCGGCUACCUGGUCGAGUACUGACACUGAGACACGAAAGCAUGGGGAUCAAACAGGAUUAGAAACCCGAGUAGUCC
rnacentral:rRNA from 1 species